UUCGUCAACUAAUGGGCUGCUAAUCUUUUUUACUUAAUUGCAGAACUAAAACUGCAUAAGUGGCGAAGUAUUUCAUAGAAACGCUUGGCGCCGCAGGUGUGACUGAACAUGUAUGUAAUGGUCUGGGGCUUCUGCAAUGGACUGGGGCUUAAGUGAACAGUCUGCAAAAUACAUAGGGUGAACAAAUUUAGGCAAAAGCUGAUGGGACGGCGCUCCUGUCAGCUUUUU
rnacentral:sRNA from 12 species